CUGAGCCAAAGUCAGAUGCUUAACUGACUGAGUCACCUAGGCAUCCGCAAAUUCACAGUGUAAAGUUUAAGGAAUCUGUUUACAAGGUAAGUAGAAAACAAGAACAAAAACAAAAUGCAGUUCCUAGGAGGCCCAUUAAAUUACAGUCUUAUCUGUUCAAUUUCAAGUCCAACCCCUUUAAUCAGUUUCCACGACACACGUGUCAGCCGACAUACCUGCAAGGUGACUCACCUUAUUCCAAUUAAACUAGAUUGAGAUUAAAAACAAACAAGCCAACAGCUGGAAUGUGACAUGUGGGUCAGACUCUUCCGAGUCCAGUGGGGUAACUCCACGGAGAUCAGAACGCUCUUCAAAAACCAACAACCAAUUGGCACAUGUCUCCAGGCAUGCUUGGAGUCUACAGGGCCAAAUGGUAGAGUGUCCUGGCAGGGCCCAAAAUUCUUCCUUGAUGACACAGAAAAGAAAAUUUUCAAAGCAGUUAUGUAACCGGAGAGAAUACAAUGCAUCCACUGUAUGCAUCCUGGGGCUGUCCAUGCACACAUUAUUUCUAUAUUUUUCUCUUCUGUAAACUUCAACACUAAAGAUCAACAUCAUUUCAAGUAAACAUCCUUUCUACUUUUUCGUUGCAAAAACAUGCCGCAGAGAACACAAGUUAUUCAUUUUUCUGGCUAAAGAAGGCAUUCCUAUUUUAAUGGUCAAUUAUAUCAGAAUCUGAAUUUGCCGCAAGUCUUCUUUUUUAUAUUUAAACACUCUUUGCACUGUUUUAUUUUUUAAUCCUUAAAUAUAAAAGUAAAGUCUAGAACAUGUACAAAACAAUUGCUCAUCUUAUGAAACCUCAUUAGGGAAGUAGUUUUUAUUCACUCCAUACUGUUGGCAUUUCUCAAUUUCAGUAAUCAUUAAUAUUUUUAAAAGCUGCCAGCAGAUGCUUACAUUUCUUUUAGAAACUAUUUCCGUCAAAGACAGAUUUCAAUUACGUCUUUAACUCUUACUGUCAUUUCCCUAUUGUUUUCAAAGUAUUACUAAUUCCUCCAAGUUCAUUUGUAUUCUGUGAGAUUCUUCUUGCAUCCAAGCAACUCUCCUUGUAAAGUGACUUUUGCAUGUGUGUAUGACAUUCAGAACAUAACCCUGCAUGUAAAUAUAUAUAUAUAUAUAUAUAUAUAUAUAUAUAUAUAUAUAUGCAUGUAUAUGUAUAUAUAUGUAUGUAUUUAAAAAAUAAUUUUCAUGAAACUACUCAAAAAGAAACUUGAACUCUGGGAACAAAUAGUGAUUAUUUUGAAAGUUCUCUCAUCUAUGGCACCCUAACUAUCAAAACAAUUUAGAUGUCUCUAUCUUCACAAAACUUUAAAAAAAUGUUGAUUCGUUUCUGUUUUUAUUUUUAUUUUUGAUUCUUUGUUUGUUUGUUUGUUUUUAGAAGGACACAACUCUUAAAACAGAAAAUGUAAAAGAAGAAAAUAAAAACCUCCCCAAACAACCAUGGGACAACCGAGGCAAUAAGGGAAAUGCUGGUUCCUUCCUCAGGAGUCUUCUGUGUCCUACUGUGAGGCAGUAUGAGGAGAGUAGGGCCAUUAAACUUGUUUGGACUGAGAGAAUCACUUUCUGCCUGGUUGGAGUCUAAGAAGAAACACUAUGGAGCUUCACGAAUGGAGUGGCCAGACUGCCCAGGGAACAUUGAUCUGUACCCCACAACAACCCAGAGCUCAGAACAUAAACAAAGACACAUUUGGAAGCUCCUGCGGAGACCGAUAUCCAAGAUCAACAGAUCCUGCAAUUUGCUACUUCCUCCUCCCCCCCUCUCCUCCGAGGGGGCUUAUAUAAGUGACUCCUGAGGAAAAAAGGACAGAAAUUUGAGGCAAAUUAAGAAAAGUAGAGGAAGACACAUGGAGUACCAGGAUACAGGGUGAGAAGACCCACAUCUCCAUGUACUUAGGGGCAAUGCUCUUUCAUACGCAAAGGCCAUCAAGGUGCUCAGUGAAGAGCAUUUCUUCAGAAACAGAAGAGUCCUGAGAUUGAGGCUUCCUUUUAAGGCACUUGUUUUAGAUGACUUUUUCCUCUGCCACUUCUAAAGAUAUCAGAAAUAUAUGAUCUUAGAAUUUGAAGCAAAAACAGACAUGUUUAACUGAACCAGUUCAGCACCUGUCCCUAGGGCUUUCCUGACAGAGACCUGACUAUGGCCCUGAUUUAGCUUAAGGGCAGUUCUAAAUAACUUGGACAGAUUUGUGGGCAGUGUCUUUGAGAUGACAUUUAACGACACCAACCCAAAUCUACCCACAACUGGUUUUAACACCACAGUAACUUUACAAGGAAGGUGGGGACUCUAAGGCUUAUCACUUCCGUGUAUGGCUUUCAUCCCAGUCAACUUCAUGCAUCAACCAAAAUGCGAUAUUUCUGAUAACCAGUAUUUGACUAUUCAGUUAUAUUUCUCCUGCUGUUGGCCUGUUCCCCCUUGACUUUCUGUGCGAUUGCUCCUAAACAUGUUCCUUCUCUUUCACUGUAAACCUCUAUUCUUUCAUAAAUAAAUUGAUGGUGUACCUCA